UGUGACUUUUUUUUAUAUACAAGAACUUUUUUUUAUGUUUUUACUCCUUUACCCUUUUUUUUAUUACUCCUUCAUAUGUAAAUAAUCUUAAUUGAAUCAACAUGUCCAUAAUAUUAUGUAUUGGACGUUAAAUUUGCAAUAAACAACAACAACAUUGAGAGUACCAAAUGGACCUGAAAUCAACAGGCGUCUUUGUAUGUUAAUAUAAUAGGGACUUAAAAAUAAUUCGGGAUCUACUAUCUUUUAUAUUUCAGAAGAAUAGAUUUCUGGUGUUCAGUUAAGAAAUGAUGAUGAUGUCGGUAUGUAGAUGUGUCGGUUUGUUCAGAUUGGGGACUCCCUUGAAAUUGAUGUCCAGAUGGUCGUCCUACAAUGUGAUGAAUCCAGGUGGACAGGGGACAUCAUACGGCGACGUUCAGAGAAGAAACAAAGCGUUUUGUGAUAACUCUAAAGACAAGAUACUCAAAAUAGUUGAAAAUCUGGUUACCAAAACUCAUCCAGAAAAUGAACCAUUUACUGUAGCCGAAUAUGGUGCCGCGGAUGGCUCGAUUUCAAUGGAACUAAUGACUGACAUAAUUAGUGUUAUUCGAUCAAAGUGUGGAAAAAACAAAGAGAUUCAUGUAAUGUAUGAAGAUUUGCCAGAGAGUGAUUUCAAUUCAUUAUUUAAAAGAAUC